rnacentral:rRNA from 1 species
CCUACGGGAGGCAGCAGUGGGGAAUAUUGCACAAUGGGGGAAACCCUGAUGCAGCGACGCCGCGUGAGUGAAGAAGUAUCUCGGUACGUAAAGCUCUAUCAGCAGGGAAGAAAAUGACGGUACCUGACUAAGAAGCCCCGGCUAACUACGUGCCAGCAGCCGCGGUAGUACGUAGGGGGCAAGCGUUAGCCGGAUUUAUUGGGUUUAAAGUGAGCGUAGGCCGGCUUUUAAGUCAGCGGUGAAAGUCCGCGGCUCAACCGUGGAAGUGCAGUUGAAACUGGAGGCCUUGAGUGCACACAGGGAUGCCGGAAUUCAUGGUGUAGCGGUGAAAUGCUGAGAUAUCAUGAAGAACUCCGAUCGCGAAGGCAAGUGUCCGGGGUGCAACUGACGCUGAGGCUCGAAAGUGCGGGUAUCAAACAGGAUUAGAUACCCUAGUAGUC